AUAUAGUUGUGUAACUGUACUGAUGAGUUCGAAAGAACGAAAAAUCAC
rnacentral:hammerhead_ribozyme from 29 species